CCAGCUGCUUGAGGAAGUCAGGGUCAUUGAAGGAGGCAACCUGCAGGAAAGAGGCGGGAGCUGGGGUGAGCCAUGCCUAAUGGCUCUCCCACACAGCGAGCGGAGGGAGAGCACACACCAGGAACUUCAGAAGCCAGAGGUAACCAAGAGAGUCAAGAGGGAGGCAAAGCCUAGGAAAAAACAGAAAACCACUAAUGAGUCCCAGCAAUCCCACUCUUGGGUGUAUGCCCUGGAGGACCAUGAAUGUGGGCACAGCCAGGGCUGGUGAGGUGGCUCAGUGGGUAAAGGCACUUGCCCAUGCAAGCCUGAGUUCAGUCCCUAGCACUCACAUGCUAGAUGGAGAGAAUCAAAUCCACAAAGUUGUCCUCCGACUGCGACAUGCAUGACCCCCCCCCGAAACAUACAUAAAAAAAAAGUGUGCAUACAAAUGUCCAUAGCAGCACCAGAAAGUGGAAAUAACCCAGAUGUUCUUCAACUGUUGAUGGAUCAAGACAUUUGGUAUGUCCACACAAAGGAAUAUUAUACAACUGUAAAGAGGGACAUAGCACCCGUUGUGGAAUAUUAGUUGAAGAUGUGUUACACUUGUUUACGCUGUAGAAUAUUUGUUUAAUGAUGCAAAGAUGUGUUGCAUUCUUUUAUGUUGCAUUUGUCUAACUCUGUGAAGCUGUGUUACUGUGCCUGUCUAAAACACCUGAUGGUCUAAUAAAGAGCUGAACGGCCAAUAGCGAGGCAGGAGGAGGAUAGGUGGGGCUGGCAGGCUGAGAGAAUAAAUAGACGGAGGGAAAAAAGAAAAGGAACGAGAAAAAGAAGAGAAAGGGAUGACAGGGGCCAGCCACCCAGCCACCCAGCCAGACACAGAACAAAAAGAAAACAAAAGAUACACAGAAAUAGAAAAAGAUAAAAGCCUAGAGGCAAAAGGCAGAUGGGAUAAUUUAAGCUGGCUAGAAACAAGCCAAGCUAAGGCCAGGCAUUCCUAAGUAAGCAUAAGACUCCGUGUAUUUGGCAGCUGGGUGGCAGGCCCCCAAAGAGUAAAGAGCUAAAGAACAUUCAACCACAAACACCCACACCUGCUACAGCAUGGUCGAACCCCUACAGCGUAAAAGAAACCAGUUACAAAAGACUAACUACUACCGUAUGGUCCUAUCCCUAGGAGAUAUCCAGAACAGGCAAAGCCAUGGAGACAGGAAACAUUAGCAGCUGCCAGGGGCUAGGGAGCAGCCAGCUGGGACAAGCACUGUUGUUCUUGGUGGGGGUAGGGAUGGAGGUAAUAAAAAUAUUCUAAGCUGAGUCUUAACUGUUCCAGGUCUCUGAAAAUAUGCUAAAAAGCCACAGAAGUUUCUGUUUUGAAUGAGUGAGAGACUGCUAAUUGAGGGCCUGCUGCUGGGGGUCGAUGCAGAGCGGGAAGCGGCUGGCCCGGGUGGUAAGGAUGCCGUUCUGAACCGAGAGCUCAUCGGGGGGAAGGCCCUGGGAACCCCACCUGCAAGGGACGACCACAGGGAGAUGGACGUUCCCCCACCAAGUGACCAGAGAUGAGCUUGUCGGCCGCGAUCAGCCGCCUCUCCAUGAUCUCUGCCUCCUCCUGCAGCUUCUGCUUCUCCAGGAUGGCGGCCUCGUACUUGGCCCCCAGAGCCUCCAG